GAAAUACUCCCUCCGUCCCAAAAUUCUUGUCUUAGAUUUGUCUAGAUACGGAUGUAUCUAAUACUAAAAUGUGACUUGAUACAUCCGUAUUUAGACAAAUCUAAGACAAGAAUUUUGGGACGGAGGGAGUAAUAA
rnacentral:pre_miRNA from 1 species